AUCCAGCUGACUAGUCCAAAAUAAGACGAAACGCGCGUUCUGGAU
rfam:Schistosoma haematobium scaffold1903_3, whole genome shotgun sequence.